AACCUGCCCCAUGCUCCAGAAUAGCUCUUGGAAACGGGUGGUAAUGCUGGAUGCUCCAACUUGACGCAUGUCUUGUUGGGAAAGUGUUUAGUGGCAUGGGAUGGGGUCGCGUCCUAUCAGCUUGUAGGCGGGGUAAUGGCCCACCUAGGCUUCGACGGGUAGCCGGCCUGAGAGGGCGGACGGCCACAUUGGGACUGAGAUACGGCCCAGACUCCUACGGGAGGCAGCAGAA
rnacentral:rRNA from 1 species